rnacentral:rRNA from 1 species
GACAGAGGUGCCAAGCGUUAGGCGGAAUCACUGGGCUUAAAGCGUGUGUAGGCGGAAUGGUAAGUACCUUGUGAAAUCCCACAGCUCAACUGUGGAACUGCUCGGUAUACUGCUUUUUCUUGAGCCACUUAGGGGCUGUCGGAACAAACGGUGGAGCGGUGAAAUGCGUAGAUAUCGGGAGGAACACCAGUGGCGAAGGCGAUCACCUGGGGAUGUUCUGACGCUGAGGAGCGAAAGCUAGGGGAGCAAACGGG